rnacentral:lncRNA from 1 species
CAUUCCAAGAAACCUAGAUGGAUUCCAAGUUGUCAAGAAUCUGAACUAAAGAAAGUAGAGAACAUGGAGUAAAGAGAAAGAGAACUUUGGCAGAGAAGACUAUCCAAUCUCAUUAUUAAGCAAGAUUCACAUAUACACCAGUAUUUAUAACUUUAGGGGGAAGACAGAAACAACUGACAAAUACUAACUAAUAAAAUCUGAAACUAACUCUUAACAGAAAUAACUAACUGCCUGAUCACGACUUAACAAAGUUAUCAAUAAGAAAAAGGAUGACAUAAAUAUAAUCUCCAACACUAGCUAAUCAUAACCUAUAUAAAUUAUUUUAUAUAGUACAUGUACAUGACCUAAAGUUUAUUUAUAUCUCCUAGGUGAACCAAAGAAAAGUGACAUAAAUGUGAAGCAAUACUUACAAACUCCAUGGUACGGCGAGUUCCUUCAACAACAAGAUUUGUCAUGUUACCAAUCAAGUAAGCUGUUAGGCCAAGGUUAAAGAGCAUGUAGAAAAUAAUGAAGAUCAUUUCUAGGGUGUUGACGGCGUGGAGGUCACCAUAACCUACAGUGGUCAUGGUAGUGAUGGACCAGUACAUGGCCGAAAUGUAUCUGAUCCGAAGGCUUGUCUCUCGGAAGUUUGGGUUCACAGCUCCAAUCCAUGUCUUUCCUUGGUGGGGGUAACGAUCAGCUAGCAUGUAAUAGAGACAACCAGCACAAUGAAUUGAAAAAAGUGUUACCUGCACCAGAUUUCAUAUAAAUGUUUCAAUAUUUUGUAUUUCAAAAAUAAUAUGUGAUUUGUCUAGUCGAAGCUAAAUGUUUUUGUAUGUGGGUGAGUGUGUCUUCCAUUUUCUUAAGUGCAACAUUUCAAAGAAAUAAAAAUAAAGUCAUUUUGGCAGCAAAUAGUAUUUUGUAAGCAUUGGCAAAAUCCUGAAAAAUGAGGAGUUUUAAUGAAAGAAUAUAGCAGAUGUUUAUUGACUAAAGCAUAUAGUGAAAAUAUUUUUGAAAUAGGAGUGAAAUGAAAUAUGACAUACAGAAAGAAGCCUAGCACAUCGGACCCAGAAAUAGCUGAACCUGAUGUCUUUCUCAAGCCUGGCAAAUGAAUGCAGCUAGAUCAAUUUUAACAUCGUAAUAAUGGUACUAAAGUGGAUUGAUUAUUAUUAGAAAAAGAAAGAUGGAAAACCUUGUGAAGUAUUGCUUGACCCGUCUGAUUCUCCAAAAUCUAAACAGACCCAAGAGGAAGUAUGGGAGACCCAAUUUCCGUUUGCCAGUGAACAAAUAUCCAAUUGCCUCGUAUGGUAUAGUUGAUGCCAAAUCCAUCACGAACCAUGUAGACAAGUAUCUACCACGUUACUAACACUAUCUUAAUUAGUUUUACUUUACUGCAUAUGUAUAUAAUUUGGACAAACUUAGCAAAACAAGACCACCUUAGUCACAUAGUCUAAAUUUGUAAAAAUACAAUUAGAUGGCACUUGCUUAUAAGAGGAGUGCUAGGUAUAUACCCUGUUUCUUAUUCCUUUGUUCCAGGUGAUUAUUUACUCUUCCAACUCUUAGCUUCUCUUUGAAUAUGGAAAAAAAGAUACUAUUCAAAUUACGCAAGAAAUGUGUUCAAUAUGAAUUAUUAAAUGCCAUAUGACACGAAAAAAAUUGUAUGAAAACACAGUAAUUUCAAUUUUCAAAUCAAACAACAGGCAAUGCAUGAUUCAAAGGAGAGUGAAAAAGAUAUGCAUAAUUUCGUACCAUUUAUCAAUUUUCAUAUUUAAAAAGAAAUUUUUUGUAUUGUGAAACUAGUAGUGAUGUUAUUCAAUAGCUUACGUGAUAACAUGCAAGAGUAUGACUAAGUUUACGUAAAUAUUAUUGCAUUCUUAAUUUCCUUGUCAUAUGGGUUUGGCAAUUAUCCCAUUUGGGAUGAAUUAGAGUAGAAAGAAAAUGAGAUGAAAGAAAAAAUAUAAUAAAUAUUUUUCAUGCAAAAUUAUGAUAUCUCAUAGCUUCAUACUAUUCACACCUCCUUUUUUUUAAUUCAUCAUCUUCCAGAAUUAUUAUCUCUUAUGUAAGAGGAGUGCUAUAACAUAUUUUUAUAUUGAUUAAAAUUUAUUAAAAAUUAUACCAUCAUUAGAGAAAUUUACUAAAUAAAAUAUGAAACUCUACAUAACUUUUUGAUUUUUAAUAAAUUUUAACCAACAUCAGAGGAUGUAUUUAAAGAGUGGAUUAAAAGAUGUUUUGUUAGCAUUUCUCCUUCUAUAAAUAUCAUGUAACACUCGUUGUCUCUUUACUUCCGGAAACCCUCUGAUUCUUAGUUUCUGCCCUAGUCCCUACCUCACUCCUGUCCCUUUGGAUUUGUCAUCCCUCCUCAUUUUAUUUCUCUUUUUCUUUGUGGCUUGAGGUCGUUUUGUCUCCUUUAAUACUUUUCUUCUUCUCAUUUUACAUAGAUUAUUUGUUUUUCUACAACUGGUCUGUGAGUCAAACAGGACUUGGGAAACAAAACUCUGAAAUGUAAAUCUCAGUUUCAAAAACAAAUUUCUAAUUUUAUUUUUUUCAUGUUUCAAACAAUUCCGAAAAUCAUUCCUAUUUUCAUGCUUUUGAAAUUUCAACUCCAGAAUAAUAAAAUCAAACUCAUAUAUAAGAGUAUGUACCAGAAAAAACUGAUAUAUAAGAGUAUAGUCAAAAUACAAUUUUACCAAAAAUAAUUUAAAAGUGUGAAUAGGAACAGAAAAUGAUACAAAAAGCAAUCAAUCACCAAUUCUGAUUGCUUUAAAUACUGGACCCAACAACUAAAUUGGGCUGUCCCGUUUUUGACUUUCCAGUAUCUACUCAUUUAUUUUAUGGUACUUGGACCUGGCCAAUAUUUUGGUGAUAAAACUGAACCAGAUGUCCGUUAUCUAGAAAGCAAUAAUCACUCAAUAUUAUUAUAACAAAAACUUUUAUUGGGUUGAAUUUGAUUGAUUAUUCAAAACCGACCCCUGAAAAGUUUGGUCUAACACAAAUCAAAGUUAUCAAACUUAGGUGGAAAUUAGGCCCCGCGUUUGGAAACGAAAUCAGAUCAGAAUUAAUCCCUCAUGCUUGCUUCGGGAGAGAGAAUAAUAUGUUGUGCCAAAUCAAGUUCUUCCCGUGUUAAGAUAAUAUUAAAUAGUGUGGUGAAUGAACUUUAUUAUUAUUAUUAUUAUUAUUAUUAUUAUUAUUAUAUUGGAAUAAUAACACUUUUACUUUAUAUUGUUGCACUCAAAUUCUUUAGAAUUAUAAAAUAGUAAAAUUGUUUAAAGAUAGAUAGCUGAAGACAUGUAUAAAUAAAUUAGUAGUUUCUUUUUGUUUGUCCUGAUCUAGACCGAGGGAACCACCACUAUAAAUAUGAUCCAAUUAAGAGGCAAAUAAAUAAUUAAUUAGCAGUUAUUAGUUGCCAAAGUUUGGUUUUUGCAACAGAUUAUAACUAACCUCACUACAAUCUUCUUCUUGUCUCGAACUAGUAGAUGAGUGGUUCGAUCAAUGUAAGCCACGAAGAAUGUCAAAACAAUAUCAAUACCGAAGAAAAGAUCAACAACACUGUCCGCAAUGUAGAUUUUCAUAUUAGAAGACUUGUGCAUGAAAGCAACUUCAAAGGGAUACACCCAUGCAGAAUAAGCUACCAGAAGAACCAUAAAACUCUCCCAACACCUGCACAUAUAUCCAACCAAAAUGAAAAUUUUAAGCCCCUCAAAUUUGUAAUUAAAUAUAUAUUUGCUUCAAAUUAAGGAAGUACUAUAAAGAAUUAAUCAAGUUAAAAGCUUAAAAUUUUAAGUAAAGAACUUCAAAAUAAAAAAAAUAAAAAAAAUUCUCUAACAAGUUCAUAUCAUAUUAAUUGGGCAAUAAACAUUAAUCAGAAGGCACCUAUAUAUAGCAGUGUUAGGAAUUCACCUAGAGAAACACACACGUACGGUUUUUCCAAAUCGGGGUCUUAAUUAAUUAGUGGUAAGGUAAUAAGUGUACCUGUAUCUGGAAUCCAUUGGUGAUAUGAUCCAUCCUUUUGAGUUAACUGGAUUCUGGCUUGAAACACCCAGUGGGGGAAGAAUGAGCUUUGAAAUAUUCCGCAGAUUGAAAGAGGGAGACAUAUAACCUUCUUCAUUGAGAUGAUGAUGCUCCCCUGAAUGAUUAUACUCUUGCUUACUGUAACUUUUCUUAGAGCUAGAGGCAAGUUGAGGAUUGUAUAAAGAACUGAAGUUCAUCCCCUCCAUUCUACUUCUACAGUUAAGACAAAAUUGUUGGUUGGUGGAUUUUCAGAAAGACUAAGGAGGGAGGGAUAUAGAGAAAGAGGUAAGAGUAGAUUCUAAUUAAGAAAAAUGCUUGUUAAAGGAGAAUAGUCAGAAAGGGCAAGCUCAACAUAUAAGGAGCAAGAGCUUUUAUGAUGAUGAUAUUAUUGUGGAUGUAUGUAGGAGAGUUGGCAGUAUAGCAGUAAUGAGGAAUGGUGACCCAAGAAAAUGAGGUCUUGAUGAUAGCGAAUAAUUCCAAAUUCUAAUGGUAUAGCUACUUACAGUUCGUUAUGUUUUAUGUGUUUAUAUGUUAGAAAGCUGCCUUAAUUUUGGUCAUUUUUGACUGGCCUUAAUUGUGACAUGUUUAGUUGCCAAUGUUUCUCAAAAGAUUAAUUAUCUAAUCAGAAAGACUAAGUGAAAUAUCAUCAUAGUAUAAUCUUUUUUACCGUACAAAUCGAGUUUCUAGGAUUGAGUCAAGUUUUAACCUCAAAUUCUCAGAUUAUAUGAGAUAAAACCACUUUGAAGUAAAAACGUGGGGUAUUAUCAGGACUGUGUGGUGCAAGAUCCACGUACUUCGUGCGCAUUCCUCUCUCUUUCCUUCUUCCUUCCCCCCUCUUGUAUAAUAUUGUAACAUCAUUUUCUGAUGUUACAUAUUUGGUUGACAGGUUCCAAUAAUAUUAUAAACUUUUAGGAAAAACACGUAGAAAGUUUUUGACCAGCUACAAAUUAUUGUGGUUAGAAAGGUAAAGAAUCAUGACAUCCACGUGCAUUGCUAGAAUUUUGAAUUUCUGUGGUUUGUAUCUUGGCAUGAUGUAAGUAAAAAAAAUUAAAAAGGUAAUUUCUCUUUGUUGUUAUUAUUACUAUAACUUUUGAAACUUUGGGGUUUUGUACACUCAAAUUUUGACUGCAAUUAAAAAUUAAAUAAAAAACUUUUGGAUUGAGUUAGCUUUAAACUUGAAUAUUUUUUAUUCUGAAAUUAAAAAUGUGAAGAAAUCAUACUUCUAUACAAUAUCUUAAUUGAAUUGUAUGUAAUGAUCAAUAAAUUUAGUCUCAUUAAUUGGCCCGCUGGAACUAAGCUACGUACGUACUGCCUCUGCAUUUAAUUGUACGACUCCAACACAUGUAAAUUGGUUGGGUCGUUUGAUAUGCUAAUUAAUGGUAAUUGGUGACUUGGUGCAUCAUUAGUGAUGAAUGGGUUAAUUAAUAAGAUCUGCGAAAUCGUUUUGGCACAUUUCUUAGAGAUAAAAGAGAUGUUAAUCACCAAAAAAUAAGAAAGAAAGAAAAUAUUGGUAACGUUUGUUGAAUUUGUGCACGGUAUCACAACCAUGUUUAACUAAUUAGUCACCUCAUCUUCCAAUUAGAAAUCCGUGUAUAUGUAGUGUUUAACAUGUGUUAGUGAUUAAUUUGACUCGCGGGAGUUCGCAUGCAAGAAUAAGAACACAGGUAACAUAUAUAUAUAUAUAUAUAUAUAUAUAUAUAUAUAUAUAUAUAUAUAUAUAUAUAUAUAUAUAUAAUUUUCUGCAGAUUUGAUUCAAGGUUUUUAAUAAUGUUAUGCAAUUAAUGUUAAACUGUUAUGUAUAAUAAGAUUGGGAGCUUUUAUAAUAAAAAUUAUAUUUUAGGGUGAUUUCUAAUUGGUGUAUGAAAAUUAAUCUAAAUUUUUUACACCUCCAAAAAAAAAAAACCUAGGACGCUUGUUCUCGAGUCAAAUAACAAGAGUCAACCGUAAUAUACUCACCAUCAUGACCAUGAAUAUGGUAGAAAGAAAAAAAAAAACACAACUUUAUUCUCGUUGAGUUUCAAGCCAAAAGAUAAGGUGCAUAUACAUUUGAAUUAAAUUUUUAUUACUAAGGUUUAGGUGACUUAAAUGCAAAGUGGAAGAUUACAUUUUACUAAAUAAACCUUAGUUAAAUGGAUGCAUUGAAAGUUAUUUUUGUUUCAACUUUCAAGAUAGCUUAUUUAUUAUAGUUGGUGACAAUCUUCACUACAAAUAGAGAAGAAAAUUAGUGAAGACAAAUAACACAUGAAGAGAGUGUGUGUGUGUGAAGAGAGAUUGUGAAACAAAGUCACUUUGUUGAGAGAAAAGUGUCUUUGUGUGAGAGUGUUAUCAUUUCUUGUAACCAUUAAGUGGGCUACUCGGGUUUGUAGAGUGAUACACUAUUUUGGGUAAGUUACAAUCUUGUAAUCAUUUUGUGAUAGUGAAAUACUUUUUGAGUUGAUUCCGUGGACGUAGGCAAGAGGUGUCGAACUACGUUAAAUUCUUGUGUUUGUUAUUAUUUUUCUUACAGUGUAAUCUUUGUUGUAUUCUCACGAUCUUUUGUGGGAGUGAGUAAUUUUAUUUGUGAGAGCGUUGAUUUCCCAACAGUGGUAUCAGAGCUAUGGCCGGGAGCACACAAAGGUUUGAGAUACCGUUGUUUGAUGGAAAAAUAAAUUUUAUGAUUUGACAGAGUAUUAUUCAAGACCUGUUGGUGCAGCAAGGUCUUGAUCGGGCAUUAGAAGAUGAAAGACAGGCUUCUAUAAAUGAAAUCGAGUAGACUAAGAUCCAAAGGAAGGCUAUGAGCACGAUUCACUUAGCCCUUGCUCCCGAGAUAAAACAUAACGUGUUUAAGGAGACAACACCGAAGGCCUUGUGGGAGAAGCUCAAGAAUAUUUAUGCAUCAAAGUCGCUAACCAAUUGCCUCUAUUUGAAGAUGGAGUUAUAUCGACUCAAAAUGGAGAUGGGAGGAGAUCUCCAUGACCACAUCAACAAGUUCAAUCAAUUAAUAAGUCAAUUGUUGAAUACAAAUGAUAAACUCUCUGAUGAAGAGCAAGCGUUGUUGUUGUUGGCCUCACUACCAAGGUCCUUCAAAGUUUUGGUCCAAACAUUGCUUGUGGGAAGAUCAACUUUGAAUUUGGAUGAGGUGACUACAGCUCUUAGAGAAAAUGAGAGAAUGAUGAGAACUGAAAAUGUUGAUGAUGAACACAAUGCAAUAGUUGUGGUGGAGUUUAAGCGGGGGAGAAAUCAUUCAAGGAGACAUGAUGGGCCAAGAGGAAUAUCAAAAUUGUAAUUGCGUCCGCAACGAGAUAUGAGUAACAUACAAUGUUACUAUUGCGGUGAGAAUGGUCAUAUGCAAGAUGAUGUGUUUUUGGCAACAAAUGACGAGAUCGCUAAAACAAAAUGGGUGAUGGAUUCUACUGCCUCAAAGCAUAUUUGCAAAGAUCGAGAGAUGUUUGAUACUUUAAAAACUGAUGGAGAAUUCAGCCAUUUUAAGUUAAGGAAUGGUGGAAAAAUGAAGGUUGAAGGCAUAGGAAGUGUGAGGAUGAAGCUCCAUGAUGGUACUAUUCGAACUUUCUCAAAUGUGAGGUUUGUACCUUUUGUUGUUAUUAAUAUGAUUUCUAUGGGGGAAAUGACAUCUUAGGGGUACAAAUAUGUUGAUUCAAAGUGGGGAUGCAAAGUGUACAAGGGGAGACACUUGGUGUUGCAAGGACAGAAAAAUAAAGGUAACAUUUGUUAUUUGGAUGGUCAAGUCUUGAAGAGGAACCAUGAUAGCAAAGUGAAGAAAAAAGUGAAGUUUUCUAAUGUUGUGAAAGUGUUGGGAGAUACUUUCGUUGGAGGGAGAGUUUGUUCACUUUCAAAUUAAUUGAAGGAUAUUUCUCUUUUGGCUUGAGGGAGAGAAUUAUGGAGUUUCAAGCCAAAAGAUAAGGUGCAUGCACAUUGGGAAUUAAAUUUUUAUCACUAAGGUUUAGGUGACUUAAAUGCAAAGUGGAAGAUUGUAUUUUACUAGAUAAGCCUUAGUUGAAUAGAUGCAUUGAAAGUUGUUUUUGUUUCUACUUCCAAAAGAACUUAUUUAUUAUAGUUGAUAACAAUCUUCAUUAUAAAUAGAGAAGAAAAUUAGUGGUAAAAAACAACACAUGAAGAGGGAGUAUGUGUGAAGAGAGAUUGUGAAACAAAUCACUUUGUUGAAAGAAAAGUGUCUUUGUGUUAGAGUGUUAUAAUUUCUUGUAACCAUUGAGUGAGAUACUUGGAUUUGUAGAGUGAUACACUAUUUGGGGUGUGUUAAAAUUUUAUAAUCAUUUUUGUAAUAGUGAAAUAUUUUUUGAGUUGGUUCCAUGAACGUAGAUAAGAGGUGUCGAACCAUAUUAAAUUUUUGCGUUUGUUAUUAUUACGGUGUAAUCUUUGUUGUGUUCUCACGAUCCUUUGUAGGGGUAAGUAAUUUUAUUUGUAAGAGCGUUGAUUUCCCAACAACUGUGAAGAGUUCUUUGAUGUUGUGUUGCAUCUACUACCUUUUGCAUAAUUUCUACUAUAUGUUUCAAGCAUAGAACAAAUAAAGUAAAAAAAAAAAAGUUAUGAAUUAAUUAGGGACCGAGGAAGCAUGAUCUUCUUCCGUGGUUACAAUGAUUUUUGAGGAUAAAUUUCACCACAACCACUCGCAUGGUUCUCUAUUAAUAUUUCUUUGUUCUUUUUUUCCUCAAAGAAAUGGAUUGCAUGAAGACAAGUUAGUCACGUAAGUAUUGUUCCAGUUAUUUUGAUAAGAUAUGGCGAUCGAAUCCAUCAACAAUGACAAUUGAAAAAUGAAAUUCAUUCUCCACUUUCUUUGGAACCUUCUUCCAACUUCACAAACCAUGAAAAUGGUGUGUGCAUGCGCGAACUCGGAUUUUUUUCAGGGCCACGUCUUCAGGUUUUUGUCUAAGAAAUAAAUUAAAAAAAGGUAAACGAUUAAUUAAAAAAUAUUAACUUUUUUAAAACUUUCUUAAAAUAGAAUAUAUUGAUUAUUGAGAAAAAAAAUUAUAUACCGACCACGUAAAUCCAAUCACACUUUAUUAUGAUAAGGUUGGUGAUUUUUAUAAUAAUUAUAUUAAUGAUAAAUUGUAAUUAAACAAUAAUAUAAAAAUAUAAGUACUUUUCUGAUUAAAUUCUUGAUUAUAUAAGUUGAUGAAGAGUUUAAUUAAAAUAUGUGUAAAUAAUUUUAUACUAUUAAUUAAGAGUUUUAUAUGUGGUAAGCCAAUUGACUUUUGUGAUAGUUGUUGUUAAAAUUAUAAGAAAUUAAAUUCUUGUAUGAAAAUUUUACGGAUGCUUUUUUAUUAUUAUUAAUUAUUAGUAUAUGCUGUGAUAUAUAAAUUAAGGUAGAAAGUACAAUCGGAAUCGCAUUGGCUUAUCUUGGUAGGGACAUGUCAUAAACUCACCAAUCAGAAUUCGUAAACUAACCGACAUAAUAUCACGAAAAACCAUACAUAGCUUUGUGAUGAACUGAUUAUGAUGAUUUAGAAGAAAAAUAUAUAAUAACGUUACACGCCUUUUAAAACACGUUAUUUUAUUUUACAACUUAAAAAAAACUGUACCUUAUUAUCUCAUCACAAAUUCACAACUAAUUUUAUCUUUUUUUUUUUACAUAACUAUGUCUCAUAAAAAAUAUAUGAUGAAGUAUGGCUUCUAUAUUAAACAUGUACCUAACGCUUUUAAUAAAAGAUAAAUAAUAUGAAUUUAGCACUUGAUCCUACUCUUCCACGAUAACAAUGGGAAUAAAUGAAAAAUAUAUACCAUUAUCAGAGUUGAAUUCUUUAUCCAGAAAAUACAAUAAAAACAAAAAAAAUACACAAAGAAUACAUGUUUGAAAUUAUUUACCAAAAUGAUACGGCUUAGUGCUUUUAAAUUUUAAAAAUGAUACGGCUUAACAUGUUGUAUUGCUGUAAUGUUGAUCAAAUUUCAUGCAAUUUAUUUUAAUUAAAAUAUUGUAGCUUACAAAUAACUUUUUUAACAACUGUUAAAUUAUUGGAUUUUUAACAUGUUUAAAUCUUUAUUAUAGAUUAAUGAUACAAAUUUCAAAAUUCAAUAUAUCCUGUCAACUGUUAUUUAUUGAUGUGAAAUGGGUAUCUCAGUGACCGAUUGAAAGGCGCGUCAUGCCUGGCUCUGCCGACACCCACUACUGUACUAGUGUUUUAACUUUUCAAUGAAAACAAAUUAGUAAGUUGGUGAUUAAUUUCUCUCUUUAUUAAUUUAUUGGAGAAAGCAACAUCGUUUUCACUAUGCAUUGCCUAUUCGAAACCCAUUACUUGUGUAGAGAGAAGACCGUGGACUAAGGGGAAUAAUGAUCACCACUAUCACUAGGUUGAUUUGAACCAUGUUAUUUUUGUUCCCCAAGUGAACUUAAUUCAACCUUGAUAAUACGGUACUAAAUAUCUCUUUUGCACUCAAGUUUAAGUUUAUUCUGUAUUCUUUGUUCACAUCAUAGUACUAGUAAAUUGUGUGUGUCUAUCUUCUUAAUUAGGAUUGAGCCAGUAUAUUGUGAGUAAAGGAGAAGAAGAUUGAGUGCCUUGUUUCGAGGUUAAGGUCUCUUUUAUGGGUUAAAGCUUUUUCUUGAUAAUAUUCUUUGGUUUUAUUCAUUUCGUGCAAGGUCUUAUAUACAGCGUUUUCCAUGCAUGCACCUUAUACAUAACUACUUACAAGCGGUUACAACAAACUAACGGCCCUUUAACUAACUAACGGCCAUGCUAAGCUUAUUCACACGUAGUCAUCUAAAUGUUUGGGUCUCGAGACGUUCCUCUUUGGCCUUUCUGCACGUGCUCCUUCAUUCACGGUGUUUGCUGCACUAGUGGCUCUAUCAUCAUCCCCCCCCCCCCUUGGAAAAAUCACCUUGUCCUCAAGGUGGUGGGAUCUGCAAAUGUCAUCCCACUUUUCCCAGGUAGAUUCCUCAGGUGCUAAGCCAAUCCAUUGUACUAAAACUAACUGAGUUGAGGGGUCAGUAGAAGGAUCCAUACGUGAAUUAAGGAUGGUCAAGGGCUUCAAUAUGGGCUGGUUUUGAAUUGUGUCUGGUGGAAGGGCGGAGACUGGUAGUUCCAAGGGGCCAUGGUGGGGUCGUAACAUGAAACAAUGGAAAACCGAAUGGAUCUUAGACGCUUUUGGAAGUUGUAAUCGAUAUGCUACCUUACCAAUGCGUUCGAUGAUGGGGAAUGGUCCUAAGUAACGUUUGGCAAGCUUGUUAGGUGACUGGUCCUGCAGGGAAAGCUGGCGAUGAGGACGAAGGCGGACGUAAACCAUCUGCCCUUCUUCGUACUGAACAUCUCGACGUCUCUUGUCCGCGAGAAGUUUCAUAUCUUCUUGAGCCUUUAGAAGUUUCCUUCUGAGUGCAGCGUGAACGACUCCCCGUGUGACUAACAUUGUAUCAACUGCAUCGUUGCGGGAAGAGCCCUUGAGGUAGUCUAAGACCGAAGGAGGAGGCUUGCCGUAGACGACCUCGUAGGGGGUGAACCCCGUGCCGGAAUGCUGCGAUGUGUUGUAUGACCAUUCAACUAAGGCCAGAAACUUGUACCACUCAGCUGGGUUUCGAUGAACGAAAGAAUGAAGAUAUUGUUCAAUCAUGCGGUUCAUCACUUCGGUUUGGCCAUCCGUUUGUGGAUGGUAAGUCGUGCUCAUGCGUAAAGUUGUGCCACUUAACCGGAAAAGCUCCCGCCAGAAGGAGCUGACCAAAAUGGGGUCUCUGUCGGAGAUGAUGCUACGAGGGAACCCGUGUAGCUUGCAUACGAUAUUGAGGAAGAGAUUGGCCACCUUGAAUGCUGUAUAGUGGGAAGGUAGAGCUCCAAGGUGGACUCCCUUGGAGAACUUGUCGACAACGACGAGGAUAGCUGUGAAUCUCUGAGAGCUUGGGAGAUGAGUUACGAAAUCCAUGGAGAGGUCUUCCCAGAUACCCGAAGGUAUCAAAAUGGGUUGUAAGAGGCCAGCACUUUUGCGCAUGAUGGGUUUCACUUGCUGACAGGUGUUGUAGUUGCGGACGAAAGUCUUAACGUCUCUGAGCAUGUUGGUCCACUGAAAGUUGGAACGAAGGUGGUGGAACGUCUUCUUUACGCCGAAGUGGCCUGCGAGUGGAGCAGCAUGAUACUCAUGCAAUAAUGCCGGAAUGAAUGGGUUCUGUGCAUCAAUCCAAAUUGCACCUUUGAAUAGAACGAAAUCACCUAAGAUGGAGAAGUCAGGGUGAUCUGCAGGGGCAACUUGGAUCGCUUCACGUUGCUUUUGGAACUCUGGGCUGCUUGAUAAGGAUUGCUUCAGCUGAAGCAUGAACUCAUGGUGAGGGACUGAGAGGACGAGGCACUGUCCUUGAGUUGAAUCACUCACAUGUGAGAGGGAGUCAACAACCACAUUUGAGGUACCUGCCUUGUACUGGAUAUCGUAGUCGAACCCGAGCAGCUUGGCUAAGUAGAACUGCUGCUCCGGGGUCUGGAUGGUCUGAGAUACGAGCUCACGGAGGCUACGAUGGUUCGUAAAAAUGGUGAACCUGUGACCCAGUAGAUACUGCCUCCAUUUGCGAACGGCGGCAACGAUGGUGUGUAGCUCGCGGACUUACGCAGAUGCAUGUUGAAGGCGUUGGCACAGUGGUUUGCUGAAGAAUGCUAUGGGGUGGCCUCGUUGAUGAAGGACAACACCCAUAGCAUAGUUUGACGCAUUCGUUUCUAGUGCAAAAGGUAGGGUAAAAUCAGGAAGGGCCAGCACCGGUGCAGCUAUCACGGCCUUCUUCAGAUUAUCAAAGGCUGCCUAAGGCUCUUCUCCCCAUCUGAACGCGUCUUUGCAAAAAAGUUGUGUUAAUGGUGCCGCAAUGGCUGCGUAUCCUUUCACAAAGUUUCGAUAGAAUCCAGUGAGACUGAGGAAAGCACGAAGGUCCCUCGGGGAACUGGGUUUGGGCCAGUCGAGAAUGGCUUGUACCUUGGAAGGAUUUGGUUGUACACCUUCGCCGAAGACGACAUGCCCUAGAUAAUCAAGCUGACGCUGUCCAAACAAGCAUUUGGAACGCUUGAGAAAAUACUGAGCUUGAGACAGGGAGUUGAAGACGCAUUCCAAGUGGUGUAAGUGGUCUUGCAGGGUUGCACUGUAGACGAGUAUAUCGUCGAAGAACACCGCCGUGAAUUUCCUCAAGAAUGGAAUGAGCAAGGCAUUCAUUGCUGCCUGAAAUGUUGAUGGCGCAUUGCACAAACUGAAGGGCAUGACUCUAUAUUCAUAAUGCCCCUGAUGGGUCCAAAAAGCUGUUUUCGGGAUAUCUCUUUUCACCAUUAAAAUUUGAUGGAAGCCCUGUCUUAAAUCUAACUUUGAAAACCACAAAGCAUGGCCCAAUUCGUCUAAAAGUUCUUCGAUGGUUGGUAAUGGAAAGCGAUCACGAACCGUGAUGAAGUUUAAUGCCCUGUAAUCCACACACAUACGCCAAGUGCCGUAUUUCUUCUUCACUAGUAGUACCGGAGAAGAGAAGGGGCUACGGCUGGGUUGGAUCAGACCGAAGUCAAGGAGCGCCGUCACUUGUUUUUCGAUUUCAGUCUUUUGGAAGUACGGGUACCUAUAGGGUCUAACGUUGAUGGGGUUAGCUGAUGGGGUUAGCUGAUGGGAUGAGGUUGAUUUGGUGGUCAUGUUGGCGAAGAGGAAGGAGGCUUGUGGGUUGGUUGAACAGGGACUCGUAUUUGAGUAGAAGCUCAUCAAUGGCGGGGACGGGGUGGAGUGCGGUGUUUAGUAAUUCAGGUGAAGGAAUGGGUUGUAGAGAUAAGUGGAAUAGGCCCGAAGUAGAGUUAGUGGAUAUGAGGCGCUUUACCUGAUGGGCCGAAACCAAGUUGGUGUCUACCUGAACAUCUGCGCGAAGAUGAAUGGGCUUUCCAAAAAGGGUGAACUUCAUAGUAAAAGUGGUGUAGUAAGUAACAACCGGGCCCAAUGUUCUUAACCACUCAACUCCUAAAAUGACGUCGGCUCCACUUAAUGGCAAAACACGCAGCGUGACCACGAAGCUGUGAUCCUGAAUGAGUAUCUUGGUCUCAGGGAUCAUUAGCUGGCAAUCCAACACAGAACCAUUUCCCACCAUCACUCUGAGAGGUAUCGUAUCUUGCAUGGGUAAGUUGAGGAACUUCGCAACACGAGGUUGAACGAAGUUAUGAGUACUGCCGCUAUCUACUAAGAUGGUGACACAAAUGUUGUUGAUAAGGCCGUAUAAUCUGAAAGUAUCCGUGGCUGGCAUGCCAGCCAUGGCAUGGAGGCUUAUAUGUGGUUGCAAUGAGGCUGGGUCGAAGGGCUGGGUAGGUUCGUCCACUGAUGGGUCAGGUUCACUUCCAAAAGGAGACAAGGGUUCCGUGAGACUCAAUUCUGAUGGUGAUGACUCAUCGGAGUUCGCAAUGAAGAAGAGAAAUCGCCCUUUACAACGGUGGGAGGAGCUCCAUUUUUCAUCACAAUUAUAAUACAGCCCCUUUUCGCGUCUAUACGCCAUGUCUUCUUGAGUUCUCUGGACGAAUGGGGGCUUUGGUCGAGGUGUCUGCGUUGAAUGAGAGUUAGAGGAGGUAGUGUUUGGUGAUGGGUGGUUACAUGGAGUGCGGGCGUGUUUCCGACGAUCAUUGAUUUUAUCUUCCUGAAGAUGAGCAAGAGCUAUAACUUUAGGUAGAGAGAGGGGUUGGAAAGCUUGUACCUCACGGCGUAUCUCCGGGCUUAGGCCGGAGAUGAAGCAACUGAGAAGAACCGAUGGGGACAGGCCGGUGAUGCAAUUUGCGAGCUUCUCAAAUUCCGUUAAGUACUUUGUGACUGUGCCUCGUUGAGUUAGCUUGAAUAAAGCUUCGCGGGGGUCAUCGUAAAUUGAAGGAGCAAAACGGGAUUCAAUUGCUUGGAGAAGGGCCGACCACGAGGUGAUGAACCCGUUUAUGAACAUCCAUUGGAACCAACUGAGUAUGGGGCCGUCCAAGUAAAAGGAAGCUACCAUGAUACGAUCCUCUUCUGGAGUUCCCUGGUAGUCGAAAAACUGUGAGAUUUUGAAGAUCCAUCCAAGCGGAUCGUGGCCGUCAAAUCGCGGGACGUCUAGCUUGACUGGUGGUCGCGGAACUUGGGGACGUGGCGGAGCAGAAGAAGACAUGUGAGAGAGACGCUCACACAUGGCCUCAAACUUAUUAGCCAAAUCGGAGUGUUUCUCGGUGAGGGCGGCUAUGGCCUCCUCGAGGCAGUCCGUGGUGGUGCGGCGGGUUCCAUGCUCUGCCAUGGACGAGGGCAGGUCGGACCAGUUGUUGUGAGUAAAGGAGAAGAAGAUUGAGUGCCUUGUUUCGAGGUCAAGGUCCCUCCUAUUGGUUAAAGCUUUUUCUCGAAAAUAUUCUCUGGUUUUAUUCAUUUCGUGCAAGGUCUUAUAUACAGCGUUUUCCAUGCAUGCACCUCAUACGUAACUACUUACAAGCGGUUACAACAAACUAACGACCCUUUAACUAACUAACGGCCAUGCUAAGCUUAUUCACACGUAGUCAUCUAAAUGUUUGGGUCUCGGGAGGUUCCUCUUUGGCCUUUCUGCAGGUGCUCCUUCAUUCACGGUGUUUGCUGCACUGGUGGCUCUAUCACAGUAGAAGAAAGAACCAAUGUUGUACUUAAUUGACAUUUUUCACUAAGAAUAAUGUCAAUUGUGCCUUCUGAGCAGACGUCCAUUGCUUAUCAGUGCAUCAUCAUUCUUUUGCACUUCAAUAUUAGGGGUGUUUAAUCAGAAAAAAAAAGAUAAUUAGAUAUGUGGCACCAACCACCAAGUCACCAACUUUUACAUACGGUUUGAAAGGCCAAAUUGGACUCACAUACAGUUGCUGCCCUAUUUUCCUAAAAACCAAAUUGGACACCAUUGCUUUUCCAAAUAAAAAAUUAUUGGUCAAACUUGAACUGAUGAUUGGAACACUCAAUGAUAAAAAGUAAUUUAUCUAUAUUGCCAAAUAUAAAAAAAUAUUUAUUAACGUAUAGACGUAUAGUUUACCACAAACUAAUUACUUUUGUCGAACCGUUUAAUUUCCUGUAAGAAGUUAUACAAUUAAGUUUUAUAUAUUUAGAUUAAUUAAAGAAUAAACUUGCUACUAAUUCUUGCAAGAUACAUCUUUUUCAUCAAUUUUGUUUUUUUAUAAAUAAGUUUCAUUAAUUUGGCUUCUAAAACUUCAAAUUUGUAAAUUUUUAGUCCCCCUCCAUCUAUUUGAGUUUAAUAAAGUUAUUUUUUAAGGCUAAUUUAUAUCAUUAAAAAAUAUCAUUUCGUUCAAAUAACUAAGGCUUUGAUUCCUUUUAUUACCAAUGAAAAAUGGAUGUCAAGAAAGCUUUGUUCCCUUAAAAAGGUUCACCUAG